AGCGAACGCUGGCGGCAGGCCUAACACAUGCAAGUCGAACGAACCUUUCGGGGUUAGUGGCGGAAGGGUGAGUAACACGUGGGAACGUGCCUUUAGGUUCGGAAUAACUCAGGGAAACUUGUGCUAAUACCGAAUGUGCCCUUCGGGGGAAAGAUUUAUCGCCUUUAGAGCGGCCCGCGUUUGAUUAGCUAGUUGGUUGAGGUAAUGGCUCACCAAGGCGACGAUCAGUAGCUGGUCUGAGAGGAUGAUCAGCCACAUUGGGACUGAGACACGGCCCAAACUCCUACGGGAGGCAGCAGUGGGGAAUCUUGCGCAAUGGGCGAAGGCCUGACGCAGCCAUGCCGCGUGAAUGAUGAAGGUCUUAGGAUUGUAAAAUUCUUUCACCGGGGACGAUAAUGACGGUACCCGGAGAAGAAGCCCCGGCUAACUUCGUG
rnacentral:rRNA from 1 species